GACGAACGCUGGCGGCGUGCUUAACACAUGCAAGUCGAACGGAAGGGCCCUGCUUGCAGGGUGCUCGAGUGGCGAACGGGUGAGUAACACGUGUGUGAUCUGCCCCUUACUUUGGGAUAAGCCUGGGAAACUGGGUCUAAUACUGGAUAGGACCAUGCUGUAGGUGGUGUGGUGGAAAGAUUAGUUUCGGUAAGGGGUGAGCUCGCGGCCUAUCAGCUUGUUGUUGGGGUAAUGGCCUACCAAGGCGUCGACGGGUAGCCGGCCUGAGAGGGUGGACGGCAACAUUGGGACUGAGAUACGGACCAGACUCCUACGGGAGGCAGCAGUGGGGAAUAUUGCACAAUGGGAGCAAGCCUGAUGCAGCGAAGACGCGUGGGGGAUGACGGCCUUCGGGUUGUAAACUCCUUUCAGCCAUGACGAAGCCCUUGUGGUGACGGUAGUGGUAGAAGAAGCACCGGCUAACUACGUG
rnacentral:rRNA from 1 species